rnacentral:lncRNA from 1 species
AGGCAUGGUAUUAAUAGGUAUAUGAAUAUGGGAUUAAUGUAACAAAUAUUUAUGAAUACCUACUCUAUCCAAGGCAUUUUUCUGGGUACUAGGGAAAUAUCAACAAACAAAACCGAAAAAAAUCCCUGACUUAAUGGAAUCAGUGUUCUAAUACAAGACAUCAGCAAUUAAAGGAUCAUUAACAUUCCCUUUCCUAGCCAAGGAAAGGAGUGACAGAUGGCACCUGGAAAAUCGGGUCACUCCCACCCUAAUACUGCGCUUUUCCAACCAUCUUAGCAAACGGC